rnacentral:rRNA from 1 species
GUGUCAGCAGCCGCGGUAAUACGAAGGGGGCUAGCGUUGCUCGGAAUUACUGGGCGUAAAGCGCGUGUAGGCGGCUUACCAAGUCAGAUGUGAAAUCCCUUGGCUUAACCGAGGAACUGCAUCUGAUACUGGUGAGCUAGAGUGUCGGAGGGGAUGGUAGAAUUCCUGGUGUAGAGGUGAAAUUCGUAGAGAUCAGGAGGAAUACCUGUGGCGAAGGCGACCAUCUGGAAGACAACUGACGCUGAGACGCGAAAGCGUGGGUAGCAAACAGGAUUAGAUACCCCUGUAGUCC